GAGCCCGUGGUCCAGCGGUUAAGACGCUACCUUGACAUGGUAGAUAUCCCCGGUUCGAAUCCGGGCGGGCUCA
rnacentral:tRNA from 1 species